GCCCCUGUAGCUCAGUUAGGAUAGAGCAGCGGUUUCCUAAACCGCGUGUCGUGCGUUCGAGUCGCACCAGGGGUA
rnacentral:tRNA from 1 species